rnacentral:rRNA from 1 species
GAUGAACGCUGGCUACAGGCUUAACACAUGCAAGUCGAGGGGAAACGCCGGGGAAGCUUGCUUCCCCGGGCGUCGACCGGCGCACGGGUGAGUAACGCGUAUCCAACCUGCCUCUGACUGAAGGAUAACCCGUCGAAAGUCGGCCUAAUACCUCAUGGUAUCGUCUGCGGGCAUCCAACGACGAUUAAAGAUUUCAUCGGUCAGGGAUGGGGAUGCGUCUGAUUAGCUUGUUGGCGGGGUAACGGCCCACCAAGGCUACGAUCAGUAGGGGUUCUGAGAGGAAGGUCCCCCACAUUGGAACUGAGACACGGUCCAAACUCCUACGGGAGGCAGCAGUGAGGAAGAUUGGGCAAUGGGCGAGAGCCUGAACCAGCCAAGUAGCGUGCAGGAAGACGGCCCUAUGGGUUGUAAACUGCUUUUAUGCGGGGAUAAAGUGAGGGACGUGUCCCUCAUUGCAGGUACCGAAUGAAUAAGGACCGGCUAAUUCCGUG